AGCAAGAAGCCGGAUCUCUUCGAGCCCCUCAAGGACAACCAGGAACCCACGUACAUGUUGUUCGCAUGCGCCGACUCGCGUGUGUGCCCAUCAGUCACCCUGGGCCUGGAACCUGGCGAGGCCUUCACCGUUCGCAACAUCGGUGCCAUGGUCCCAUGCUACUGCAAGAACAAGCACACCGGUGUUGGAUCAGCCAUCGAAUAUGCCGUCUGCGCCCUCAAGGUUAAGGUCAUCGUGGUGAUUGGCCAUAGCCGCUGUGGUGGUAUCAAGGCCCUCCUCUCGCUCAAGGAUGGGGAAGACGACUCCUUCCACUUCGUUGAGGACUGGGUCAGGAUCGGGUUCUCGGCCAAGAAGAAGGUGAAGGACGAGUGUUGUGACCUGCCUUUCGAGGACCAAUGUGCCGUCUUGGAAAAGGAGGCCGUCAACGUGUCCCUCCAGAACCUCAGCACUUACCCGUUCGUCAAGGAGGGUGUGGCAAACGGAACCCUCAAGCUGAUCGGCGGCCACUACGACUUCGUCUCAGGAAAGUUUGACACAUGGGAGCUGUAA
rnacentral:rRNA from 1 species